GGCAACCCUGACGGAGCAACGCCGCGUGUGGGAGGACGGCCUGUGGGUUGUAAACCGCUUUUCUCAGGGAAGAAGAACUGACGGUACCUGAGGAAUCAGCAUCGGCUAACUCCGUGCCAGCAGCCGCGGUAAUACGGAGGAUGCAAGCGUUAUCCGGAAUUAUUGGGCGUAAAGCGUCCGCAGGUGGCGAUUCAAGUCUGCUGUCAAAGCCAGGAGCUCAACUCCUGUCCGGCAGUGGAAACUGACCCACUCGAGGGUGGUAGGGGUAGAGGGAAUUCCCAGUGUAGCGGUGAAAUGCGUAGAGAUUGGGAAGAACACCGGUGGCGAAAGCGCUCUACUGGACCACACCUGACACUCAGAGGACGAAAGCUAGGGGAGCG
rnacentral:rRNA from 1 species